CCUACGGGAGACAGCAGUGAGGAAUAUUGGUCAAUGGCCGGAAGGCUGAACCAGCCAUGCCGCGUGAAGGUCAGUGCCCUAUGGGCGUUAAACUUCUUUUGUGCGGGAGCAAUAAUGGUCACGUGUGGCCAGACGAGAGUACCGUACGAAUAAGCCUCGGCUAACUCCGUGCCAGCAGCCGCGGUAAUACGGGGGAUGCAAGCGUUAUCCGGAUUUAUUGGGUUUAAAGGGUGCGUAGGCUGUGAGGUAAGUCAGCGGGGAAAUGCCCCCGCUCAACGGGGUGAAGUGCCAUUGAUACUGCCUUGCUGGAAUGCGGAUGCCGUGGGAGGAAUGUGUGGUGUAGCGGUGAAAUGCAUAGAUAUCACACAGAACACCGAUUGCGAAGGCAUCUCACGAAUCCGCGAUUGACGCUGAUGCACGAAAGCGUGGGUAUCAAACAGGAUUAGAUACCCCUGUAGUC
rnacentral:rRNA from 1 species